rnacentral:lncRNA from 1 species
CCGGCUUUGAGCUCCUCCGCGGUGGCAGUGUCCAGAAAGGGGUGGCGGGUGUCGAGGUUUGAGGGUUCCCUUUCCUGCAAGGCAGGAUGGACGGAUCAGUCUCCGGGGGUGGGAAGUUCACUACGACUCUUUGCAGAGCAGAAGGAAAUGCAUUCGGAUGCCAGCACCGCUGGAUGCCGGGGAUGGAGAGGCAGCCUGACCCAAGGAGCGCUCCUCCAUAGAGCCAAGCCCCGAGAUUUCCUAGAGGGUGAUGUUGGAAGGCCGUCGAAUGCUGAGAUACACCUGCUGGCAGCACACAACAGCUGCCCCAACCUCUCGGUGUGCACAUUUCUAGCGGCUGGAACAAAG